AUUGAACGCUGGCGGCAGGCCUAACACAUGCAAGUCGAACGAGUGGCGGACGUGUUAGUAAUGUCUGGGAAACUGCCUGAUGGAGGGUGUUCACUACUGGAAACUGUUGCUAAUACCGCAUACCAUCAGCUGUGUCCAGUUGGGCUUAGCUUGUUGGUGGGGUAACGGCUGACCAAGGCGACGAUCCGUAGCUGGUCUGAGAGGAUGACCAGCCACACUGGAACUGAGAAACGGUCCAGACUCCUACGGGAGGCAGCAGUGGGGAAUAUUGCACAAUGGGCGAAAGCCUGAUACAGCCAUGCCGCGUGUAUGAAGAAGGCCUUCGGGUUGUAAAGUACUUUAAGUGGGGAGGCGUUACCCGCAGAAGAAGCACCGGCUAACUCCGUGCCAGCAGCCGCGGUAAUAC
rnacentral:rRNA from 1 species